CCUACGGGAGGCAGCAGUGGGGAAUAUUGCGCAAUGGGCGAAAGCCUGACGCAGCGACGCCGCGUGAGGGAUGAAGGUCUUCGGAUCGUAAACCUCUGUCAGCAGGGCAGCACGGUCACUGUGCUAAUCAGCAGUGAAUUGACGGUACCUGCAAAGGAAGCAUCGGCUAACUCCGUGCCAGCAGCCGCGGUAAUACGGAGGGUGCGAGCGUUAAUCGGAAUUACUGGGCGUAAAGCGCUCGUAGGCGGUAUGUCAAGUCAAGGGUGAAAUCCCCGCGCUGAACGUGGGAACUGCCUUUGAAACUGGCAAACUGGAGUGUGUGAGAAGAUAGUGGAAUAGCAGGAGGAGAAGUGAAAUCCGUAGAUAUCUGAAGGAACAACAGUGGCGAAGGCGACGAUCUGGCACAUAACUGACGAUGAGGAGCGAAAGCGUGGGUAGCAAACAGGAUUAGAUACCCGUGUAGUC
rnacentral:rRNA from 1 species